rnacentral:lncRNA from 1 species
GUGUAUGUCAUGACAGUUAUUAUUAUAUAACAAGAAAUUAGCAAUGUAAAAAAGGCAUGGAGAUAUAAUUAGAACAAAAAAAAAUUACAAAAUAGAGACACUUGGACUAUGAAGAUACUUAAAGUUUGAAGAGACAUGGAAUAUCAAGGCAUUAGAAUAUCUUCAAAAACAUCAGUCACAUAUCUCAACAACAUCAAGGGAAAAAAAGAAAGAGCUGCAAAAGAGAACUAUACCGAAGAGCCAAGAAUUGUGACGUUGUCAGUGCUUACAGAUAGACAUUAAAUUUGAGAACUUGAACACUGCUGCACUGCCACACAGACCAAAUACUUGAUGGUUUAGUUUUAAGGAAGAAGGUAGUGAAAUUGUUGAUGGGAAAAUGGAGGUUCUAAUCCCGCUCCUUGUUGGAGACAAUUGUCUCAAGCUUUUUCCUUGUUUAAAGGUUCUCACCCCAAAACCCUUGCAUUCUUUUUUUAAAACUCAAAAAGGAACUCCUUUUAACUUCC